rnacentral:rRNA from 1 species
CCUACGGGUGGCAGCAGUGGGGAAUAUUGCACAAUGGGGGAAACCCUGAUGCAGCGACGCCGCGUGAGUGAAGAAGGGUUUCGGCGCGUAAAGCUCUGUCAGCGGGGAAGAAACACGGUGCGCGAGAGCCGCGGACGGUACCCGACCAAGAAGCACCGGCUAACGACGUGCCAGCAGCCGCGGUAAUACGUAGGGGGCAAGCGUUCUCCGGAUUCACUGGGGGUAAAGGGAGCGUAGACGGCGAGACAAGUCUGGAGUGAAGGGCCGGGGCCCAACCCCGGGACUGCUCUGGAAACUGCCUGGCUGGAGUACAGGAUAGGUAAGUGGACUUCCUAGUGUAGCGGUGCAAUGCGUAGAUAUUAGGCGGAACCCCAGUUGCGAAGGCGGCUUACUGGACUGUAACUGACGUUGAGGCUCGAAAGCGUGGGGCGCAAACAGGAUUAGAUACCCUUGUAGUC